rnacentral:rRNA from 1 species
UACGGGGGGGGCAAGCGUUGUUCGGAAUUACUGGGCGUAAAGGGCUCGUAGGCGGCCAACUAAGUCAGACGUGAAAUCCCCAGGCUUAACCUGGGAACUGCGUCUGAUACUGGAUGGCUUGAAUUCGGGAGAGGGAUGCAGAAUUCCAGGUGUAGCGGUGAAAUGCGUAGAUACCUGGAGGAAUACCGGUGGCGAAGGCGGCAUCCUGGACCGACAUUGACGCUGAGGAGCGAAAGCUAGGGGAGCAAACGGG